rnacentral:misc_RNA from 1 species
GGACUGCAAUGAUAAGAAGAAGUGAUGAGAACAAUACAUGUUACAUAUGAAAGAAAGAGGAACAAUUCCAUGUUACAAUCACCAACCCCAUGGUGUAAAAAAAUGUAUGACAUGGAUAUGCCUAGCUCGAAUCAAACAAUUCGCCGCUGCACUGCAAAAUUGAUCAAAGUUGUUCAUAGAUUAAUGAGAGGUUGAGGAAGGGGAAGGAAAAACCUAGCUUCACUACAAAGGCAAUGGUGUGUGUAGUGAUAAUAUGUUGAAGCAAAGCUCUUGUUGAUAUCCUUGAAUUUGUGAAGACGUUUUCUGCUUUGAGCGUUUUCUGAUACGCGACUUGCUGAUAUACUUCUCUGGCAUCUGUGCUUGACUAACAGCUCUUAAUCUUCCAUUUUGUGCAACAGCAUAAGGGAAGCUAAUUGAGCCUGGAGUCUGUUGCUCCUUUGGAAAUUCAUGGACAUCAGAUGGAGCGUUGGACAAUGGAGAUGACGGUUUAGGACUCAAUUUUCCCUUCCAAGCCGUAAAUGUAUGCUGUAGCUUAGGUGGCACAGUGGGAACCAAGGUACAGGCAGCAAAUGACAAAGAGGAUGCUCCAAACGGAGCCUUUCCAGAUCUGUUAUCCUUCUUGUCACUUUUAGCUGAGCUUUGAUUGUCAGCAGAUCCAAAACUUGAUGCAGUAACCUCCUCUUCGUCUUCCUCGUCCUCGUCCUCGUCCUCAUCUUCCUUCUUUUCCGCCCAAGUUUUCUCAAGUUCAUCUGUUGAUUCAGAAGGUACAAUAUCAUCUUCUUCUUGGGUUCCCAUUGCAACUUUCUUUUCCUCCUCUUCUUGCAUUCUUUUUAAUUCAUCAUCCAUGUCUUCCAACGCUUCCUUUAGAGACAAUUCUGCUUCUGCUAAUUCUAACUCUUUUUUCAACAGCUCUAUCUUCA